rnacentral:rRNA from 1 species
UACUCCUACGGGAGGCAGCAGUGGGGAAUUUUGGACAAUGGGCGAAAGCCUGAUCCAGCAAUGCCGCGUGUGUGAAGAAGGCCUUCGGGUUGUAAAGCACUUUUGUCCGGAAAGAAAACCUCGUGGUUAAUACCCGUGGGGGAUGACGGUACCGGAAGAAUAAGCACCGGCUAACUACGUGCCAGCAGCCGCGGUAAUACGUAGGGUGCAAGCGUUAAUCGGAAUUACUGGGCGUAAAGCGUGCGCAGGCGGUCCGCUAAGACAGAUGUGAAAUCCCCGGGCUUAACCUGGGAACUGCAUUUGUGACUGGCGGGCUAGAGUAUGGCAGAGGGGGGUAGAAUUCCACGUGUAGCAGUGAAAUGCGUAGAGAUGUGGAGGAAUACCGAUGGCGAAGGCAGCCCCCUGGGCCAAUACUG